UACGUAGGGGGCUAGCGUUGUCCGGAAUCAUUGGGCGUAAAGCGCGUGUAGGCGGUCCGGUAAGUCCGCUGUGAAAGUCGGGGGUUCAACCCUCGGAUGCCGGUGGAUACUGUCGGGCUUGAGUACGGAAGAGGCGAGUGGAAUUCCUGGUGUAGCGGUGAAAUGCGCAGAUAUCAGGAGGAACACCAAUUGCGAAGGCAGCUCGCUGGGACGUUACUGACGCUGAGACGCGAAAGCGUGGGGAGCAAACAGG
rnacentral:rRNA from 1 species